rnacentral:rRNA from 1 species
CCUACGGGAGGCAGCAGUGGGGAAUAUUGCACAAUGGGGGAAACCCUGAUGCAGCAACGCCGCGUGAGUGAAGAAGUUUCUCGGUCUGUUAAGCUCCUUCAGCAGGGAAGAAAAUGCCAGUACCUGUCUACGAAGCCCCGUAUCACUACGUGCCAGCAGCCCUGGCAACCAGGCGGGGGCCAGCGUUAUCCGGAUUUACGGGGUGUAAAGGGAGCGUAGUGGGUUGUGCAAGUCAGAAGUGAAAGCCCGGGGUGCAACCGCGGGACUGCUGUUGAAACUGUGUGGCUAGAGUGCAGGAGAGGUAAGUGGAAUUCGUGGUGUAGCGGUGAAAUGCAUAGAUAUUAGGAAGAACACCGAUUGCGAAGGCAGCUUGCUGGACUGUAACUGACGUUGAGGCUCGAAAGCGUGGGUAGCAAACAGGAUUAGAUACCCCAGUAGUC